rnacentral:rRNA from 1 species
ACCCCAGUGAGCGACAGAUGGAGCUUGCUNCCUGAUGUAGCGGCGGACGGUGAGUAACACGUGGUAACCUGCCGUAAGACUGGAUAACUCCGGGAAACCGGGGCUAAUACCGGAUGCUUGUUUGAACCGCAUGGUUCAAACAUAAAAAGGUGGCUUCGGCUACCACUUACAGAUGGACCCCGCGGCGCAUUAGCUAGUUGGUGAGGUAAUGGCUCACCAAGGCAACGAUGCGUAGCCGACCUGAGAGGGUGAUCGGCCACACUGGGACUGAGACACGGCCCAGACUCCUACGGGAGGCAGCAGUAGGGAAUCUUCCGCAAUGGACGAAAGUCUGACGGAGCAACGCCGCGUGAGUGANGAAGGUUUUCGGAUCGAAAGCUCUGUUGUAGGGAAGAACAAGUACCGUCGAAUAGGGCGGACCUGACGGACCNACCAGAAGCCNCGGCAACUACGNCCAGC